rnacentral:rRNA from 1 species
UACGUAGGUGGCAAGCGUUAUCCGGAAUUAUUGGGCGUAAAGAGCGCGCAGGUGGUUAAUUAAGUCUGAUGUGAAAGCCCACGGCUUAACCGUGGAGGGUCAUUGGAAACUGGUUGACUUGAGUGUAGAAGAGGGAAGUGGAAUUCCAUGUGUAGCGGUGAAAUGCGUAGAUAUAUGGAGGAACACCGGUGGCGAAAGCGGCUCUCUGGCCUGUAACUGACACUGAGGCUCGAAAGCGUGGGGAGCAAACAGG